AAGCCAAUUAAUCUGCUUAUCUGUAUAUGUUUCUGCAAAAAUCUAGAAAGAGCUGGCAGUAAUGUUGUCAAGUAAUGAGCCUUGAGGCCAAGUGGCUGUCUUUAAGAUCCCUAAAAAAGACUAUAUCG
ensembl:snoRNA